GGUGGGACAUCAAAUGGAAUAAAUUUUAUAUCUUGUUGAACUUAUAGUGAUACACAUUAUUUCACCUUCUGGAGUGUUAUGAGUUCCUCCACAAAAUUUGAUCUGGAGUGUAUGAGUUCCGCCACAAAAUUUGAAGCAACAUGUCCAGUUUUUCAGACUGUAGUUGGAUGUCAAUCUGAGCUUCUACGCCUUGGACCUUUGCAAACCAAAGCUUUGGUUGGUUCUUUACCAUGAGCAGAUGAUCAAUGUGCUAGUGCUACGACACAUUCAGUUAGUUGCAGUGAUCAACCGGCACGUUUAGUUAGUUGCCGAGAUCAACCGUGUAGCUGUAGUGGAUUUCCUUAUAAAGCAAUGUUUUGUUUAAUCAUUGAGUAUUUUCAAGGGACCAAAGCUCAUGCAUAUGUAUAAUCUACAAUCUAAAUUACAACACAUUGUAAU
rnacentral:misc_RNA from 1 species